AGAGUUUGAUCCUGGCUCAGGAUGAACGCUGGCGGCGUGCUUAACACAUGCAAGUCGAACGAUCUUGCCUCAUGAUUUCGGUCAUGAGAACGGGAUAGUGGCGAACUGGUGAGUAAGACAUGGGCAACCUGCCCUUCAGAUCGGGAUAGCAGCUGGAAACGGCUGGUAAUACCGGGUACUCUCCCCUAGUCGCAUGACCUGGGGAGGAAAGAUGGCCUAUCCUUGGAAGCUAUCACUGAAGGAGGGGCCCGUGGCCCAUUAGCUAGUUGGCGGGGUAACGGCCCACCAAGGCUACGAUGGGUAGCUGGUUUGAGAGGAUGAUCAGCCACACUGGGACUGAGAUACGGCCCAGACUCCUACGGGAGGCAGCAGUGAGGAAUUUUCCCAAUGGGCGAAAGCCUGACGGAGCGACGCCGCGUGGACGAAGAAGGUUUUCGGAUCGUAAAGUCUUGUCAGGGGGAAAGAACCCCCGCCGUGUGAAUAAUUCGGCGGGUUGACGGUACCCCCAAAGGAAGCUCCGGCCAACUACGUGCCAGCAGCCGCGGUAAUACGUAGGGAGCAAGCGUUAUCCGGAAUCACUGGGCGUAAAGAGCUCGUAGGCGGUUAGAUAAGUCGCAUGUUAAAUACCCAGGCUCAACCAGGGGAAUGCGUGCGAUACUGUUUAGCUAGAGGACGGGAGAGGUAAGUGGAAUUCCUGGUGUAGCGGUGAAAUGCAUAGAUAUCAGGAAGAACACCAGUGGCGAAGGCGGCUUACUAGACCGUUCCUAACGCUGAGGAGCGAAAGCCAGGGGAGCAAACGGGAUUAGAUACCCCGGUAGUCCUGGCCGUAAACGAUGGGUACUAGGUGUGGGAGGUAUCGACCCCUUCCGUGCCGCAGCUAACGCAUUAAGUACCCCGCCUGGGGAGUACGGCCGCAAGGUUAAGACUCAAAGGAAUUGACGG
rnacentral:rRNA from 1 species